AUAGUGCAAAUAACUGAUAGAACUGAAAGGGGAGACAUACAAGGAAUUUACAUAAGACAGCUGUGCAAAAUGGAGCUGGAGGAGCCUUAUUUGUGCACAGAGAUACUCCUGAGAAUAACCCAGAUACUCCAUUUGAUUUCACACCAGAAAACUAUAAGAGGAUAGAGGCAAUUGUAAAAAACUAUCCAGAAGGACAUAAAGCAGCAGCUGUGCUUCCAGUCCUGGAUUUAGCCCAAAGACAGAAUGGAUGGCUGCCCAUCUCUGCUAUGAACAAGGUUGCAGAAGUUUUACAAGUACCUCCAAUGAGAGUAUAUGAAGUAGCAACUUUUUAUACAAUAUAUAAUCCAAAGCCAGUUGGAAAGUAUCACAUUCAGGUCUGCACUACUACACUUUGCAUGCUUCGACACUCUGACAGCAUACUGGAGGCCAUUCAGAAAAAGCUUGGAAUAAAGGUUGGGGAGACUACGCCUGAUAAACUUUUCACUCUUAUAGAGGUGGAAUGUUUAGGGGCCUGGGUAAAUGCACCAAUGGUUCAAAUAAAUGACAACUACUAUGAGGAUCUGACACCUAAGGAUAUCGAAGAAAUUAUUGAUGAGCUCAAAGCUGGCAAAUUUCCAAAACCUGGGCCAAGGAGUGGACGCUUCUCUUGUGAGCCAGCUGGAGGUCUUACCUCUUUGACUGAACCACCCAAAGGACCUGGCUUUGGUGUCCAAGCGGGACUUUAAUUUAUAUUCAACUGUGAAUAUUGUCACUGGAGAAAUAAAAAUGAAUCUCCUAUCUACAUAAA